CCUACGGGCGGCAGCAGUGAGGAAUAUUGGUCAAUGGGCGGGAGCCUGAACCAGCCAAGUCGCGUGAGGGAAGACGGUCCUAUGGAUUGUAAACCUCUUUAGGCGGGGAGCAAUGCCGGGCACGCGUGCCCGGAGGGAGAGUACCCGCAGAAUAAGCAUCGGCUAACUCCGUGCCAGCAGCCGCGGGAAUACGGAGGAUGCGAGCGUUAUCCGGCUUGAUUGGGUUUACAGGGUGCGUAGGCGGAUUUUUAAGUCAGCGGUAAAAUGUCCGGGCUCAACCCGGGCCGGCCGUUGAAACUGGGGAUCUUGAGUGGGCGAGAAGUAUGCGGAAUGCGUGGUGUAGCGGUGAAAUGCAUAGAUAUCACGCAGAACUCCGAUUGCGAAGGCAGCAUACCGGCGCCCGACUGACGCUGAGGCACGAAAGCGUGGGGAUCGAACAGGAUUAGAUACCCGGGUAGUC
rnacentral:rRNA from 1 species